UUUCUUUUCGUCUCAUUCUCACACUUUCGCUCACCCACAACCCACGCAAAACCCAAGAAUGCAGGCUCAUAGCUUACGAAUACAACGCUUCUUAGUGGACAAUUUUGGAGGGAAGCCAAGGUUGAAGAAGCUGUGAACCUGAAAGCUAAUUGUGUUCUUGAACCUUCAAACCUUGCUAUGGAGGUGGGCUCAGAUUCAAACCCUCUUCUUUCUCACUUAUCUCUUCCAAACUCUUGCCAUUCGUCCGUCGAUCGUGGGUGAAGAGUCUGUUGUGGUUCGUCAAUCGUGAGUACAAGUCUAUUCGUCGUGCAGGUCUGUUCAUCGAUUCACCUCUAUUUGUCGUCGAUCGUGGAGGUAUGUUGUGGUUCCAGCAUCCAUUCGUCGAUCCGAUCUCCGUUCGUCAUCGAUCUGGCCUCUGUGUCGUCGCUCGUCAACCAAAUCCACUUCUCCGCUGGACAUUUUCCCUUUUUCAGUUCCACCGACCACCCUACAGAGAUAGUCAGAGACUGGUAAUUUGUUGAGCAACUUCUGGUUUGUGUGAUGGAAAGAUGUAUCCAGGGGAAGAAGAAGAACAUUUAGUUCAUUCAGAGAAUUUUUGUUUUGUUAGAGGGAAAGGAGAUUGCAGAAAGGUAGGUAGAGUUUCCGGUGAAAAAUUUACACAUUUCUAUUCAAUAAUCUUUAGAAAUUUUGGUGUAUUGUGAAUAUUAUCAUCAUUAUCAUUAUUAUUAUCAUAAUUAUUGUUGUUAUUAUUAUUACAAUGGCUAUAAUUAUUUUGUUCUUUUUUGUCUUGAAUGCAAAAUCUCUACAAUAAACAUAUCAAGAAUAGUGUUCUCUUUGUUUUAUAUCUAUGUCUUGUUUUGCUUCUCAGUUCUGUAAGUUCAUUCUAAUAUUGCAAUGGGGAUAGAAUAGUAGGGAUAGUCAAUCUUGUCAGCAUUACCAUUUUCGUAAUGUAGAAGUCUAAAACUAGAUUACAACAGUAAUGUAGAACUUUUUACAUUAUUUAUUUUUGCAUGAAAAGUGAUAUUCAAUGGCUUGACCAUGAAAAUUGGGUUUUACCUUAGUGUUUGUUUGAAUGUUGUUGAGUUUUUUUCUUCAGUGGCAUUGAUAUACAUACAGAGAGAGGACUGAAUCAAUGUUAGUUUUUUAACACAACAUCAAUGGCGUUGGACUGGUGUAGUUGGCUAGAGAAUAGUACUUAAAGGUGCUUUUCUGCUUGAAUGUCUCUUUGUUCUUGUUUUCUACCCUAAAAUUUGCCUGUGGAUUUUUUUUUUUUUUUAGUUUCUAUAUUGUUUGAUUGUAGAAAAAAGACAUCAAGAAAGAGGCAAAAUGGGUAUGUUUCUAUAGUGGACACUUUGUAUUAGAGAAAAUCUCUUUUUCUAAAUACUAUAGUGGACACUUUGUACUGCUUGUUGGAUGUUUACAUCUUAUUAUUGCUCCAUGAACUACAUGUUAAAUUUGGAUUGAGAAGUAACUUAAACUAUUCAAGUCUUGUUCUCCUUGUGGUAAUGGAAUUUUUGUGUCAAUAGAGAGGAUAAAUGAGAAUGUUGUUAAUUUAUCUUGUCUUCAUCAAUUGAAGACAAAUUGUUGCAAGAAAUGGAGCAGAGUAGGGAAGCUCGGAGUGCAAAUAUCAAUAAGCUUAAGAAUCAGUCUUCUUCUGAGUCCAACUCUAGUAGAAAUGUCGUAGAGAAAGCAGGCCAGUCUCAAUCUUUCGCAAUUUUGUAACUCUUUGUUCUCUGAUUCUGCAACUUGCUGCCGAAUUGAAAUGUUUAUUAUUGUUUAGCUCACAGUUUUUUUUUUUUUUUUUUGUGAAUUAAUUUUGUGAAUGUGUUCUUAUCAACGGUUUCAUGUCGAUGAUUUAAAGUAAACCUAGCUAUGUUAGUGAUAUUCUCGGAUUCCAAAUAGAAUUAGUGAGUCUUGUUUAAUUAAAUCGUGAUAUUUAUCAUAUUUUUUUUCAUUGUUUUUUUUAUUAUUGUCAUACUUAAAAAUUUCUCAGGGUUCUGGUGGAUGGUCGGGUUUUGAUAGUGGAGCUGGUAACUAUGGCAGAGGAGCAACAGCUCAAACUUUACUUGGAAAGUAUUGUCUUACACGCAAUUCAAAUAAUUUUUAGUGGAAUGAGUUAACGAGCUUGAUUGAAGAGAUUGUUGGCCUUUUUUUUCCUUUCUUUUAGCUUAUGAAAAUAUAUAAAUUUAAGUUUAUUAGAACUACUGUUUGUAAGUACAAAUUUUGUUAUUCUAUUUGGGAGCUAACUAUUAUUCGUACUCUAUGAGCAA